AUAAAGGUAGCAAUAUAGAUACUAUCAGUCUUGUUUAGUCAGGUUCUUUUGGGAUAAUUUUGAUGGAUUUUAUUUGAAUUUGAUUGCUUUUCCUUUAGCUCUAGUUCUAUAGUUUUCUACUUUUCCUUUUAAUUCUGGUAGGAUGAAACUACUGGUCUCUAGGAUUUUCCAUUCAAUAACUCUAAUUCACAAAAGUACGAAUAAAAUAGUAAUUCACUAGGCUAUGAAAUGACUAUUUUUCACUUAUGUUUUUUUAAUAUCAUACUAUUCCAUGUUAUUGCAUAAACCAAA
rnacentral:misc_RNA from 1 species